GAUGAACGCUGGCGGCGUGCCUAAUACAUGCAAGUCGAGCGAACAGACGAGGAGCUUGCUCCUCUGACGUUAGCGGCGGACGGGUGAGUAACACGUGGAUAACCUACCUAUAAGACUGGGAUAACUUCGGGAAACCGGAGCUAAUACCGGAUAAUAUAUUGAACCGCAUGGUUCAAUAGUAAAAGACGGUUUUGCUGUCACUUAUAGAUGGAUCCGCGCCGCAUUAGCUAGUUGGUAAGGUAACGGCUUACCAAGGCAACGAUGCGUAGCCGACCUGAGAGGGUGAUCGGCCACACUGGAACUGGGACACGGUCCAGACUCCUACGGGAGGCAGCAGUAGGGAAUCUUCCGCAAUGGGCGAAAGCCUGACGGAGCAACGCCGCGUGAGUGAUGAAGGUCUUCGGAUCGUAAAACUCUGUUAUUAGGGAAGAACAAAUGUGUAAGUAACUAUGCACGUCUUGACGGUACCUAAUCAGAAAGCCACGGCUAACUACGUG
rnacentral:rRNA from 1 species